rnacentral:tRNA from 1 species
ACCUGCCUGGCUCAGUCAGUAGAGCAUGUAACUCUUGAUCUCAGGGUCAUGAAUUCAAGUUCCGUGUUGGGUA